GCAUGUUUUGAAUUAUGCAUGUUUCAGGGUUGAAGGAAAAGUCUGUAAACUUAAAGGAAAAGUGUUUUUUUGCCAGGACAUUAUCAGUUUUUCUACAGAGUCUUACACUGUAAACUAUGACAUGGAGAAGUUUCCUUCUGAUAUUUCCUCAGUCAAGAUAAUUCUCUUCUACUCUGUUCUCGUCUGUCGAGCUGCAGUGAGUUAGUUUGGCGUCUCAGCAGGUGUUUGGGUUCCUGAACCUGAUCCCGUGCUGCUCUCUCAUCAAUAAUUCACAGGACAAACGUUCAGGGCUCCUGGAUCCCCGAGCAUCAGAAGCUCACUUUGGCAGCGGAAAGUGAAGCAUGUCCAAGAGAAGAUGGGUGGAGUUCAAGAUCAGUCAAACCAUCAGCUGUUCAGCUCCGGUCGGCCGCAGGAAUAGACCUCCGUCUCCAGCAGCUGCUGCAGCCGCAGGAACCGCGGAGAUGAUGGAAGACGAGGAGCGACAGAAGAAACUCCAGGCCGGCAAAGCCAAGCUGGCCGAGUACCGGCAGAGGAAAGCUCAAUCCGAUGGCCAGAAGAAGCAGAAGAAGAAGAAAAAGAAGCCGGAGGAGCAGGGAGGAGAUCAGAGCGUGUUUUCCCGCGGCGGAGAAGCCGUCACACACGACCAGACCUACACCAUAGAGGUGAGCAGAGAUGUGUUUGAGUAGCACUUCCUGUUUAUCCUAAUCCUAAUCAGAGCACACUUAAUAACUCUCAACUAGUGGCAGUUACAUUUAUUUUGUAUCAAAAAAAAAAAAACUAAAUUAAAGUUAAAUUUAGCCCGAAAACAGAAGAGUAAUCAUAUGUAAUUAAUAAUGAACACUCCAGUGGUUGAACACAAACAUGCUUUUUAAAUGAUGUGUUUGUUCUAAUUCAAACUGUUGUUGGAAAUAUAAACAUUUAAAGAUUUGUAACUUGUUAAUGAUGCUAGAAACAUGUUAUCUCAGUUUUUAAGGAGCUGUGGUGUUUCUGUCUGAAAUGCCUGUAUAGUAUGAUUUGAAAUCGCAGUGCUGCACAUGUUAUGAGUAUGGUUAUUUGUUUAUGAGUAUAACAACAUUAGAUUAAUCCCAGAUCUCUGUUUAUGUGAGCUCUGUAGCUUUAAUGGCAUUAUAAAGGUGCAUGUAAACGCGGUCAGUGUCGGAUCUGAGCAAGCGCUGUUGUUUGUGUUUGUGUGGAUGUUUCUGCAGGCUGUUGUUGUGGAGGAACUGCUGUAACUAAUGUUUAAAGGUGAAGUGUGUAAUUUCUGCGGCUCUGAAGGGAAUUGCAGAAAUAAUGACUCCAAACAAACACAGAGGCCAUGCAUUAUUGAAGAUAGUGAUAGAAAACAAGAUAGAAAAAUUAAGACUUUCAGCUCAGUGAUUAAAGGAGUCAUAUGAUGCGAUUUCAAGUUUUCCUUUCUCUUUGGAGUGUUACAAGCUCUUGGUGCAUGAAGAACGGUUCACUGUUUGGGAAGGUGCACGCUCCGUCACCGGUCCCGCUUUAGCGGGCGCAUUGACUUUAGGUUACUCACGUAAACCCGGUUCUCUGAUAACAUGAGGCGAUUCCCAAAUUGAGAUACCGAACGAAUGUUUGAAAGAGAACUCUUCGUCUGCACGUGCUUUGAAAUAGGAAUCGUUGCCAAUCUCAAACCUGCCAAUCUGAAGGAGACGCUGUGUAUGGUGUUUGAGG
ensembl:lncRNA